GUGAGGAGGUCCUCCGGCAGCUACAGACCCUGGCACCAAAGGGCGUGAACGUCCGCAUCGCUGUGAGCAAGCCCAACGGGCCCCAGCCACAGGCGGACCUGCAGGCUCUGCUGCAGAGCGGUGCCCAGGUCCGCAUGGUGGACAUGCAGAAGCUGACCCAUGGUGUCCUGCAUACCAAGUUCUGGGUGGUGGACCAGACCCACUUCUACCUGGGCAGUGCCAACAUGGACUGGCGUUCACUGACCCAGGUCUGUCUGCACCCUGUCUACCUUCCUUCCAGGCCACUCCCUGCCCCACAGGGCACCCAGCCUCCGACUGCAUCCCUCACUCAAUCCAGAGUCCUCUCCACCCAUUCUCUGUAAUGGCUUCCUUCUUGCCUCCUACCAGGCCUCCCUAAUCCAAGCCAUGCACGGUGGCUCACACCUAUAAUCUCAACACUUUGGGAGGCCAAGGUGGGAGGAUCGCUUGAGCCCAGGAGUUGGAGACCAGCCUGGGCAACAUAGUGAGACCCCAUCUCUACCAAAAAAAAAAAAAUAAGCCCGGUGUGGUGGCACACACCUCUGGUCCCAGCUCCUUGGGAGACUGAGGUGGGAGGAUCACUUGAGCCCAGGAGUUUGAGGCUACAGUGGGUUGUAUUCAUGCCACUGCACUCCAGCCUGAGUGACAGAGUGAGACCCUGUUAAAAAACAAAGAAUCCCUAAAUGGAGCCCUCUACUGCCCUCCCCCUGCUCCUGGAAGCCUGGGGCUCCCUCUGAUCCCCAAUUGCAGCUACCAGCCUUCUACAGGGCAUUCAAGGACCUGCGCACCCAUUUGAUCUUCAUUGUACAUCUCCGUGUGCUUGCUCUAAGUCCAGCCCUAUCCUGGGUAAUGUUGGGAACAUGGUGGUAACAGAUGGACCUCAU
rnacentral:sRNA from 1 species